GUGGGGAAUAUUGGACAAUGGGCGCAAGCCUGAUCCAGCCAUACCGCGUGGGUGAAGAAGGCCUUCGGGUUGUAAAGCCCUUUUGUUGGGAAAGAAAUCCUGUCGGUUAAUACCUGGCGGGGAUGACGGUACCCAAAGAAUAAGCACCGGCUAACUUCGUGCCAGCAGCCGCGGUAAUACGAAGGGUGCAAGCGUUACUCGGAAUUACUGGGCGUAAAGCGUGCGUAGGUGGUGGUUUAAGGCCGUUGUGAAAGCCCUGGGCUCAACCUGGGAAUUGCAGUGGAUACUGUAUCACUAGAGUGUGGUAGAGGGAUGCGGAAUUUCUGGUGUAGCAGUGAAAUGCGUAGAGAUCAGAAGGAACAUCCGUGGCGAAGGCGGCAUCCUGGGCCAACACUGACACUGAGGCACGAAAGCGUGGGGAGCAAACAGGAUUAGAAACCCGAGUAGUCC
rnacentral:rRNA from 1 species